rnacentral:rRNA from 1 species
GGAAGGAUCAUUAUUGAAAUAAACCUGAUGGGUUGCUGCUGGUUCUCUAGGGAGCAUGUGCACACUUGUCAUCUUUAUAUCUCCACCUGUGCACCUUUUGUAGACCUGAAUAUCUUUCUGAAUGCCUAGCAUUCGGGUUUGAGGAUUGACUUUACUGUCUUUUCUUACAUUUUCAGGCCUAUGUUUUUCAUAUACCCCAAUGUAUGUUAUAGAAUGUAAUAAAGGGCCUUUGCGCCUAUAAACCUAUACAACUUUCAGCAACGGAUCUCUUGGCUCUCGCAUCGAUGAAGAACGCAGCGAAAUGCGAUAAGUAAUGUGAAUUGCAGAAUUCAGUGAAUCAUCGAAUCUUUGAACGCACCUUGCGCUCCUUGGUAUUCCGAGGAGCAUGCCUGUUUGAGUGUCAUUAAUAUAUCAACCUCGUCAGCUUUUGCUUGUUGAGUGUUGGAUGUGGGGGUACUUUUUGCUGGCCUCUCUUUGAGGUCUGCUCCCCUGAAAUGCAUUAGCGGAACAAAUUUGUUGACCGUUCAUUGGUGUGAUAACUAUCUACGCUAUUGACGUGAAGCAGGUUCAGCUUAUAACAGCCCAUUGACUUGGACAAUUUUUCAUUAAUGUGACCUCAAAUCAGGUAGGACUACCCGCUGAACUUAAGCAUAUCAAUAAGCGGAGGAAAAGAAACUAACAAGGAUUCCCCUAGUAACUGCGAGUGAAGCGGGAAAAGCUCAAAUUUAAAAUCUGAUAGUCUUUGGCUGUCCGAGUUGUAAUCUAGAGAAGUGUUAUCCGCGCUGGACCGUGUACAAGUCUCCUGGAAUGGAGCGUCAUAGAGGGUGAGAAUCCCGUCUUUGACACGGACUGCCAGGGCUUUGUGAUGCGCUCUCAAAGAGUCGAGUUGUUUGGGAAUGCAGCUCAAAA